rnacentral:rRNA from 1 species
AGGAGGUUUGCUUAGAAGCAGCAAUCCUUUAAAGAGUGCGUAAUAGCUCACUAGUCGAGUGACACUGCGCCGAAAAUGUACCGGGGCUAAACAUAUUACCGAAGCUGUGGAUUGUCCUUUGGACAAUGGUAGGAGAGCGUUCUAAGGGCGUUGAAGCAUGAUCGCAAGGACAUGUGGAGCGCUUAGAAGUGAGAAUGCCGGUGUGAGUAGCGAAAGACGGGUGAGAAUCCCGUCCACCGAUUGACUAAGGUUUCCAGAGGAAGGCUCGUCCGCUCUGGGUUAGUCGGGUCCUAAGCUGAGGCCGACAGGCGUAGGCGAUGGAUAACAGGUUGAUAUUCCUGUACCACCUAGUAUCGUUUUAAUCGAUGGGGGGACGCAGUAGGAUAGGCGAAGCGUGCUGUUGGAGUGCACGUCCAAGCAGUAAGGCUGAGUGUUAGGCAAAUCCGGCACUCUUAAGAUUGAGCUGUGAUGGGGAGAGGAAAUUGUUUCCUCGAGUCGUUGAUUUCACACUGCCGAGAAAAGCCUCUAGAUAGAUAACAGGUGCC